rnacentral:sRNA from 12 species
AGCCUAAGUCCCGCAAGGGAUAUGGCACAAAAUCCUAAGUAACAAACAUGGUCUUCUGACCAGCACUUGUUACUUAGGUCUAUAUCCGAAAGGAUGUAGGGCGGUUCCGAAAGGAGCUGUC